AACGAACGCUGGCGGCAGGCCUAACACAUGCAAGUCGAACGCUGUAGCAAUACAGAGUGGCAGACGGGUGAGUAACGCGUGGGAACAUGCCCUUCGGUUCGGAAUAACUCAGGGAAACUUGAGCUAAUACCGGAUACGCCCUUAGGGGGAAAGAUUUAUCGCCGAAGGAUUGGCCCGCGUCCGAUAGCUAGUUGGUGCGGUAAUGGCUCACCAAGGCGACGAUCGGUAGCUGGUCUGAGAGGAUGAUCAGCCACACUGGGACUGAGACACGGCCCAGACUCAUACGGGAGGCAGCAGUGGGGAAUAUUGGACAAUGGGCGCAAGCCUGAUCCAGCCAUGCCGCGUGAGUGAUGAAGGCCCUAGGGUUGUAAAGCUCUUUCGCCAGGGACGAUAAUGACGGUACCUGGAUAAGAAGCCCCGGCUAACUUCGUGCCAGCCGCCGCCGUAA
rnacentral:rRNA from 1 species